CGUAUUGCUCUGGCGUGAUGUUAUAUUUGUCGAUGGCUCCAGGCUAAAACGAAAGAUACGUUCACUUGAGAUGAAUCAAUUCUGACCUUUGAAUACCAUUUCGUUACGGCCCAAGGGAGUGCGAUAUCUAGAUAUUUGGCGAGAGGAAUGGUAGAUUCUCACGUGUUCUGUUUAUUCAAUCAAGCAAACACCAAUUUCAUCGGAUUACUACAAUACCACGUUUCCUCCAUUAAAACAUUGACUUCCAAUGACGGGAUUUGAACCCACGCCAAAGCGGGAGAAAAUUCCAACCUUCUUCGCGCUGUCUUUUACAUAACUUUCUCCAUUUGUCGCAAAACUCAAAAUAUUCUUAAAAUAUGCAAACAAACGUGUUCUAAGACAUAUUUUGGGUGUUUCUGCCAUCGAGAUUUAGUAAGUCGAAACUAAUUUUUCCGAUGAGGAGAGCAAAUUUUAAACAUGGGUGGUUAAAACCUGUUCCGUAUUUGAUAUCACAAACUUGAGUGAUACGCACAGCCCUAGCCAAAGUUUUCAGAUGCCAAAACUAAAAAGAGACCAUCAUUCAAGGAACACUCUCGUUCCAAGGAAAAUGUCCAUCAGUGCAGGAACACUCUUAUCUUCAUCUUUCAUCAACUCCAAUCAAAAUCAAGGACAAGACCAUGGACCAGAUUACAUGAUGCCGAUGAUUCUAGGUCUCAUCUUCAUGACUGCCCUCCUUCUAUUUUCAUACCUUGUGGCUCGAAAAUGUCUUGGCAUUGGGCCGAAGAACCAGUUGCAAUCCGACUAUCGAGGAACCGACGUCUAUUUCGUGGAAUCUGCACCGCCCUCCAAAAUUUCUAUUCAUUAGUGAAAAACAAAUAAACCAUUCCAACCUGAA